rfam:Myotis lucifugus cont2.42873, whole genome shotgun sequence.
GGUGGUUCUCAGGUGACACACCCCAGAACCAGAGAGGAGGGAGCCCAAUUUUGGGGUGUGUCACCUGAGAACUGCC